rnacentral:misc_RNA from 1 species
AAAGGGAUCGUUACCCUUCUUCUCCACCA